rnacentral:rRNA from 1 species
AGUGAACGCUGGCGGUAGGCCUAACACAUGCAAGUCGAACGGCAGCACAGGAGAGCUUGCUCUCUGGGUGGCGAGUGGCGGACGGGUGAGGAAUACAUCGGAAUCUACUCUGUCGUGGGGGAUAACGUAGGGAAACUUACGCUAAUACCGCAUACGACCUACGGGUGAAAGCAGGGGACCUUCGGGCCUUGCGCGAUUGAAUGAGCCGAUGUCGGAUUAGCUAGUUGGCGGGGUAAGGGCCCACCAAGGCGACGAUCCGUAGCUGGUUUGAGAGGAUGAUCAGCCACACUGGUACUGAGACACGGUCCAGACUCCUACGGGAGGCAGCAGUGGGGAAUAUUGGACAAUGGGCGCAAGCCUGAUCCAGCCAUACCGCGUGGGUGAAGAAGGCCUUCGGGUUGUAAAGCCCUUUUGUUGGGAAAGAAAUCCAGCUGGCUAAUACCCGGUUGGGAUGACGGUACCCAAAGAAUAAGCACCGGCUAACUUCGUGCCAGCCGCCGCCGUAA